AAAGUUUUGGAGCGAUAUACUUGCCUUCACAUGGAACGAGGCGGGCUUCAAGGGCUGGAGUGUUUGGUAUUAUGUAGAUGGCGGACACAGAGAGUCUCCGGUGCAGAGCCCAAUGGAAGAGAACUGAACUUUGGAGUUUUCCGAGGCUCGUCAGAGUAUCACUGCCACACCACAGUCCAAGAGGACACAUUUCUUCCACGCAUUUGGCUGAAUAGUCCACGUGCCUUGUCUUGUGGGUCGACUUCCAUUGGAGGAACUUAUGGCUCAGAUACCUUCAUUUUUGCCUGCAUUAUUUGAUGCUUUUGGGAACCACAGUGCAGAUGUUCGGAAGAUGGUCGUUUCUUUUCCAGUAGACAUAUAUAUUGUCCUUGGAAAAGCACUUUUACCUUAUCUUGGAAGCCUGAGCAGUACCCAACCGCGACUUGUAACAAUUCAUGCAAAUAGAAUUUCACAGGCAAGGUCAGGUGUUGUUGUGGACAUGCAAAAUGUAGAGGCAAUGACAGGGCACAUUAACUGUCUGACAAAAUACCUCAAAAAGAUAUGUCCUCGUGGACUACAAUGAUUUCAGGAUAUGCAUAAAAUGGAUUUGUUGACAAUGCUUCAGAAACUUUUAAGCAAAUUUAUUUAGCAGGUAUCAAGCCAAAUUCCACAACCUUUGCUUGCAUCCUCCAUGCCUGUCCCAAAACGGGAGCAUCGGAACAGGGUAUGGACAUCCUUCAAAGCAUAAAGGAUGCAAAUUUUUUCCAGAUGUAGUUACAAUUGCCCUGGUAGAUGUGUAUGUAAAAUGUGGAAGCAUAGACAACGCACGGGAAUCGUUUGACAGAAUGCCUCGAAGAGAUGUAGUCUCAUGGACUGCAGUGAUUGCAGGAUAUGCACAUAAAGUAUUUGUUGAAAGGUUUCUAGAAACUUUCAAAGAAAUGCAAUUGGCAGGUGUUAGCCAGACUAGACAACCUUUGCGAGCUUCAUCCCUUACCGUUGCAAAUGGGGAGGUUUACAAUAGGCCAAAAACAUGGAACAAAAUUCAUGGUUAUCUAGAUACCCCACCUCAAAUGAUAUCAAUGGUUCUAUCAACCAGAGUGUUCAUCCCAUCACACAACCCCUGAAAAGGGCUAUUUACGGUAGUUGUAUGGACAUGAUAAAUUGAUGGUUAUUUACGGUUGUUGCAUGAACAUGGUAAAUUGUUGUUCCUUGGCAUUUUUCUUUUGGGUUGGAUUUGGUUAUAAUGCCAUAGUAACUAGCUUUUUAUCUUAAUUAUAAUUGCUAAGUUUGUUAUUUAAAAAAAUGCAACUGACAAUGUCAAUGCUGCAGUUCAUCUUCAAGAAGCCAGUUUCUAUUUUUAAAGUUGUUUGUAUUUUAAAUUCAUCAUAAAGAUUAUUUUUCAUCACUGUUAGAGUGUAGAGCACUUUGCAUCACUGUUAGAAUGUAGUGUUCUUUGCUUUUAGAAAUUGCUUUGAAGGUGGAAUCCAAGCAACAAAAUGAGACCUUCAAAGACCAGCUAGUCCUUUUCAUCUUAGGAAAAGAACAUUUCUUGUGCAAUUAUCAACUCUUCUAACCUUGUCUCAAAUAAUGGAUCUGUUAAGGGUUCUAGACUCCUUUAUUUUUUGAAUGGGAAGAACUAUUGUGCUUAUAGAAUGCUUAUUGUAUAUUUAAUUUAUGAAUUCAUGUCCUUAAAUAGAAGGGGGAGAUCCUUGUAACUAAGUAGGAUUUACAUAUUGAAGAAUCAUAAAGUCAUGUGUCCAGUCCAAAGAAUUUUAAUUCUGAGCUUAUCCUCAUGGUUAAUGACUGUCAUGUGAACAAUUGAGAAAGUCUCUUUGAUCAUAAUUGUUAGUUUAAAGGCAACUUGGUAAAUCCUAUCCUUGAGAAUGGUGAAUAAAAGAACCUAAUUUCCCUAAGGUUUGUGGAUGAUCUCCAAAUGCUAGAUGUGGAGCAUCUACAUUCAUACAUUUUGCAGUGGCAUUUUCAAUUGAGCUUUUCUAGGACAAAAUGGGUUGUGGCUUCACUCCACUGGUUUUUUAUAGUUUGACACUUAGCCCACCUUACUAGUACGACCAAAUGAUUUUUAAUGUCUGCUCACACAAGAACUGCAUUGUACAAGGAUGAUAAAAUGUAUGAAUUCAAUUGUUCAUUUGUUAAUCUUUUGCUCUCUUGUAGAUUGGGUUGUCAAAUACGUCAAAGUGCAUAUAUAGUUCGAUUCCAGGCAUGGUUUCACCUUCACUUAGCCGAAUUUUGGUACCUGCUGAGGAAACUCGAUAUGUCAAGGGCAAACAUAUACAGGUGGACUGAUGAGAUUCAAUAAAGCAUAAGAGUCCGAUAAUAGAUUUAGUUUCUAUCUCUCACCUGCCAAAUUUAUUAGAACUAAUAAUUCUUUGUAAUUAGUUAAGGAUAACAGGGACAAAUUUAUUGAAAAUCUAGUUUUUUGGUAUGUUCAA